AUGUAUUUACGCGAGUUCUUAUCUACGAUACUCAAAGUGUCCGCAGCAUUCGAUAUCGGGAAUCCGGAUUAUGUCAAUUAAUCAGUUGCACCACUUCGGUCAUUUGUAACGUCGAACCUGAAAUCGAUAAUCCAACGAAGCCAGGCGGCGUUUCGUAUUCACCUGCGGGAAUAAAUUCGUACGAGAUGAAAGGAUAAAAUGUUGGAUCGAUUAAUUUCCAGUUGAUUGUCCACCGGAAAAGGACGAUAAGCUCCGAUGGGCUGCGAUAUUGCGGACCAUUUCGCGGAUCGAAAUACGAUUAAGGGUCGGUGUUUAUGGGGAAACCGAUAUAUACGAUACGACUCUGCGCCGUGCAAAGAGGGUGCGGAAGCUAUCGCUGCUGCUGGUACAUAACGUCGGAAAAGUUUCAGCGGGAAAUAUACAAAAAAUAUGUUUCCAAUUAGCGGUGGAGUCCAUGCAGCGAAAGAAUAAAAAAAAAAAAAAAAAAUAUAUCGACGUGCCCCUUUGAACGGAAAUAAAUAUAUAUCCGCGUACACGUGUAUGCUACCUGAGUUUCGUGCACAGCGAACAAGAAGGGUGAAAUAUAAAAAAUAAUAAUUGCAAA